rnacentral:misc_RNA from 1 species
AGCAGCCGCGGUAAUUCCAGCUCCAAUAGCGUAUAUUAAAGUUGUUGCAGUUAAAAAGCUCGUAGUUGAAUUUCGGAACCGAUGGAUCGGUCACGCCAUUCGGUGUGUACUGGUUUAAUUGGUUCUCACCUUCUAAGGAACCGUGAUGUCAUUAAUUUGGUGUCGCGGGGAAUUAGG